UACAGAGGGGGCAAGCGUUAUUCGGAAUUAUUGGGCGUAAAGCGCGCGUAGGCGGCUACUUAAGUCGGAUGUGAAAGCCCUUGGCUCAACUGAGGAAGUGCACCCGAAACUGAGUGGCUAGAGUACGAAAGAGGGUCGCGGAAUUCCCGGUGUAGAGGUGAAAUUCGUAGAUAUCGGGAGGAACACCGGUGGCGAAGGCGGCGACCUGGGUCGAUACUGACGCUGAUGCGCGAAAGCGUGGGGAGCAAACAGG
rnacentral:rRNA from 1 species